GCGGCUAUGGUCUAGGGGUUAUGAUCUCAGCUUCCCAAGCUGAUGACUCGGGUUCGAUUCCCGGUAGCCGCA
rnacentral:tRNA from 1 species